AAACAAUGAUAUCUGAAGACACAAGAACUAGCAAUGUGGGACACCCUGAAGGAAUUUCCUAUUUUUUAGAUUUUUCACCUCAAAAAUUUAUAUAUAUAUAUGAUCUAGAAUUUCUGCUUGAGGACUUACUGUGAAACCUCACUUCACUUCAAUGCCUUAAUAUUUGGGAUUGUCCAAAAAUAAGAACCUUAUCUUCUGCUUCGCAGCAUCCAGUGGUGAAAAAAUCAUUGGUUUUGAAACAAAAUGAGAUUUAACACUUCAUAUUUCUUCAAGUCUAACUUAUUCCUUCCAUCCAGUUGUGUGGAAAUCUUAUUUCUGGGUUGUUUAUUCAAUCAUUUGAUUGUUAUAUUUGCUUUUACAUGAACAAUUAAAUAUUAAAAAACCCAUAGUUCAGCUUAUCGAAAAAAAAAAACCCAUAGUUUAUCCUUUAACGUUAGUUUCAGGCUGUUUUGCUGAUAUUGUGAAUCUGUGGAUUGAAGCAUUUCCAUGUACUUUUAACUGAGCUAUGGAAUUUCAAAUAAG
rnacentral:misc_RNA from 1 species